rnacentral:rRNA from 1 species
UACGUAGGGGUCGAGCGUUGUCCGGAGUUACUGGGCGUAAAGCGCGCGCAGGCGGCGCGAUAAGACCGGCGUGAAAGCCCCCGGCUCAACCGGGGAGGGUCGUUGGUGACUGUCGCGCUUGAAGGCAGCAGGGGUGAGUGGAAUUCCCGGUGUAGUGGUGAAAUGCGUAGAGAUCGGGAGGAACACCCGUGGCGAAGGCGGCCUCGGCUGGGCUGGUUCUGACACUCAUCC